GCCUGAAACCGUGGGCUUACAAGCAGUCACGGCCCCGCAAGGGGUUGUGGCGUGCCUAUUGAAGCAUGAGCCGGCGACUCACGGUCGUGGGCGAGCUUAAGCCGUUGAGGCGGAGGCGUAGGGAAACCGAGUCCGAACAGGGCGUCUAGUCCGCGGCCGUGGACCCGAAACCGGGCGAGCUAGCCCUGGCCAGGGUGAAGCUGGGGUGAGACCCAGUGGAGGCCCGAACCGGUGGGGGAUGCAAACCCCUCGGAUGAGCUGGGGCUAGGAGUGAAAAGCUAACCGAGCCCGGAGAUAGCUGGUUCUCCCCGAAAUGACUUUAGGGUCAGCCUCAGGCGCUGACUGGGGCCUGUAGAGCACUGAUAGGGCUAGGGGGCCCACCAGCCUACCAAACCCUGUCAAACUCCGAAGGGUCCCAGGUGGAGCCUGGGAGUGAGGGCGCGAGCGAUAACGUCCGCGUCCGAGCGCGGGAACAACCGAGACCGCCAGCUAAGGUCCCCAAGUCUGGGCUAAGUGGUAAAGGAUGUGGCGCCGCGAAGACAGCCAGGAGGUUGGCUUAGAAGCAGCCAUCCUUUAAAGAGUGCGUAAUAGCUCACUGGUCGAGUGGCGCCGCGCCGAAAAUGAUCGGGGCUUAAGCCCAGCGCCGAAGCUGCGGGUCUGGGGGAUGACCCCAGGCGGUAGGGGAGCGUUCCCGAUGCCGAUGAAGGCCGACCCGCGAGGGCGGCUGGAGGUAAGGGAAGUGCGAAUGCCGGCAUGAGUAACGAUAAAGAGGGUGAGAAUCCCUCUCGCCGUAAGCCCAAGGGUUCCUACGCAAUGGUCGUCAGCGUAGGGUUAGGCGGGACCUAAGGUGAAGCCGAAAGGCGUAGCCGAAGGGCAGCCGGUUAAUAUUCCGGCCCUUCCCGCAGGUGCGAUGGGGGGACGCUCUAGGCUAGGGGGACCGGAGCCAUGGACGAGCCCGGCCAGAAGCGCAGGGUGGGAGGUAGGCAAAUCCGCCUCCCAAAAGCUCUGCGUGGUGGGGAAGCCCGUACGGGUGACAACCCCCCGAAGCCAGGGAGCCAAGAAAAGCCUCUAAGCACAACCUGCGGGAACCCGUACCGCAAACCGACACAGGUGGGCGGGUGCGAGAGCACUCAGGCGCGCGGGAGAACCCUCGCCAAGGAACUCUGCAAGUUGGCCCCGUAACUUCGGGAGAAGGGGUGCUCCCUGGGGUGAUGAGCUCCGGGGAGCCGCAGUGAACAGGCUCUGGCGACUGUUUACCAAAAACACAGCUCUCUGCGAACUCGUAAGAGGAGGUAUAGGGAGCGACGCUUGCCCGGUGCCGGAAGGUCAAGGGGAGGGGUGCAAGCCCCGAACCGAAGCCCCGGUGAACGGCGGCCGUAACUAUAACGGUCCUAAGGUAGCGAAAUUCCUUGUCGGGUAAGUUCCGACCUGCACGAAAAGCGUAACGACCGGAGCGCUGUCUCGGCGAGGGACCCGGUGAAAUUGAACUGGCCGUGAAGAUGCGGCCUACCCGUGGCAGGACGAAAAGACCCCGUGGAGCUUUACUGCAGCCUGGUGUUGGCUCUUGGUCGCGCCUGCGUAGGAUAGGUGGGAGCCUGUGAACCCCCGCCUCCGGGUGGGGGGGAGGCGCCGGUGAAAUACCACCCUGGCGCGGCUGGGGGCCUAACCCUCGGAUGGGGGGACAGCGCUUGGCGGGCAGUUUGACUGGGGCGGUCGCCUCCUAAAAGGUAACGGAGGCGCCCAAAGGUCCCCUCAGGCGGGACGGAAAUCCGCCGGAGAGCGCAAGGGUAGAAGGGGGCCUGACUGCGAGGCCUGCAAGCCGAGCAGGGGCGAAAGCCGGGCCUAGUGAACCGGUGGUCCCGUGUGGAAGGGCCAUC
rnacentral:rRNA from 1 species